rnacentral:rRNA from 1 species
UACGGAGGGUGCGAGCGUUGUCCGGAAUCAUUGGGCGUAAAGGGCGCGUAGGUGGCCCGGUCAGUCUGUGGUGAAAGCGCGGGGCUCAACCCCGCGUCGGCCAUGGAUACUGCUGGGCUGGAGCACUGUAGAGGCAGGCGGAAUUCCGGGUGUAGCGGUGGAAUGCGUAGAGAUCCGGAAGAACACCGGUGGCGAAGGCGGCCUGCUGGGCAGUUGCUGACACUGAGGCGCGACAGCGUGGGGAGCAAACAGG